CUUUUCCUUUGUAUCUUUAUUUUCUCCCUUUUCUUUUUCUUAAAUGUGAACUGAAGAGAAUUCAGAACUUUUUUUUUUUUUAACCGGGGAUUGAACUCAGGGGCACUUGACCAUUGGGCCACAUCCUCAGCCCUAUUUUGUAUUUUAUUUAGAGACAGGGUCUCACUGAGUUGCUCAGCACCUCGCUUUUGCUGAGGCUGGCUUUGAACUUUCGAUCCUCCUGCCUCAGCCUCCUUCAGAUCUGAGGUUCUAAAAGAAGUUUUGGUUAAAUGUUGGUGACUCAUACCCUACUGAAGAUUUUAAUUUUGGGUGAAGACUAACAUUCUGCUGUAGUGUAGCCUGUGUUAAUCCAGCAAAGUUUACUACAUAAUCCUGGAACUGAUUCCAGAUGUUAUCUUGGCUUCAUUACUUCCUCACUUCUUGGCUUCACAUCUUUCUGUAGGUGAAUUAUUUUUUAAUAAUUUUUUAAUUUGUUCUAAUUAGUUAUACAUGAAAGUAGAAUGCAUUUUGACACAUCAUACAUAAAUGGAGUAUAACUUCUUGUUCAUCUGGUUGUACAUAUAAUCAUAUGUGCACAUAGGGUAAUGUGUGAUUUAUUCUACUGUCAUUCCUACCCCAAUGCCCACUCCCCCCCUUUCACUUCCCUCUGUCUAGUCCAAAAUACCUUUAUUUUCACCACCCCCGCCCAUUGUAAAUUAGCAUCUGCAUAUCAGAGAAAACAUUCAGCCCUUGGUUCUUUGGGAUUGGCUUAUUUCUUUUAGCAUGGUAUUCUCCAGUUCCACCCAUUAUGGUAAAUGCCAUAAUUUCAUUUUUCUUCAAGGCUGAGUAAUAUUCCAUUGUGUAUAUAUAUCACAUUUUCUUUACCCACUCAUCUACUGAAGGGCAUCUAGGUUGGUUCCAUAGUUUAGUUAUUGUGAAUUGAGCUGCUAUAAACAUUGAUUUGGCUGUGUCACUGUAGUAUGCUGAUUUUUAGUCCUUUGGGUAUAAACCAAGGAGUGGAAUAGCUGGGUCAAAUGGUGGUUCCAUUCCAGGUUUUCUGAGGAAUCUCCAUAGUGCUUUCCAGAUUGGUAGCACCAAUUUGCAGUUUCUGUGGGUGAAUUAUUAAGCAUUCUGUGCCUCAAUUUCCUGACCUACAAAACAAAAUUAAAAUAAUAUCUCAAUAGGGUACCAUGAACAUUAUAUUAUGUGAUUUACAUAAAUGUUAAGCACUUUGAACUACACACAUAGUGCUCCAAAAAGUGAGCUUUAUUUAUUAUGACAUAGAACUUUUAUUGCAAAUAUUAAAUAUUCCUGUGUUACCAGAUCUUGAAGUAUGUAUGGGAACCUGUAGGGGAUGGAGAGGGGAUUUCUUGGACAUCCUUUUCAGGGGUGAAGCCAAAAACUAUUUCUUAAUACUAAGAGGUUAUUUGCCUUUUUCUUUCUUUCUCAAGGAGAUGCAGUAGUUUCUCAGAGCUAUUAAAAAAUGGAUAAUAUUACUAUAUAUAAGCAGCUAGAUGACCCAGUUGUCUUCUAUUAAGCUGGACAUUAGAAACUUCCCACUAAAUUUUUCAUUUUCAAAGU
rnacentral:lncRNA from 1 species